AUUUAUAUAGUUUAAAUAAAACAUUACAUUUUCACUGUAAAAAUAAUAUUAAUUAUAUUUA
rnacentral:tRNA from 1 species